AGUUUGGAAUAAACUUCUUCACAAUCUACAAGGUGUCGUUUGGAUCGAGUCACUGUCAGCCAAUUCACCUAAGAUUAUGGUUAUCGCCAUCUCAGCAGAACUGUAACUGGUGGGUGUGGAAUU